ensembl:lncRNA
GAGUAGCUUGGAAGUGAGUUCCCGAAUUGGAAUCCACGGCCGAGUAACGGGCCCUCCGCGCUGAGGCCCAGCAUAGUGCACCUGCUACGGUCCCAGGCUGGGGGAUGGAGGCGCUGCGGGGUCCUCAGGAUCUGAGAACAGCCCCGGACUCACACGCAGCCUCAGGAAGGAGGUGGCCGGAGCGCUCAGAACGAAGGCCCUAUAACGGAGACUCUGCUUGUGGGCAAGAAAACCCUAGGGCAGAGGAGGGCAAGGGCUUCCUCGAGUCCUGUGCUGGCCGUGUGGCCAGGAUGUCGAGACACAGGUGCACUGGCGUCCCUGGGAAAUCUCAGCCCUGCAGCUCUGGACCUGGGGCAGGGCUGGCUUGGCAGAAGUGUGGUGCCUGGCAGGGGUUGAGUGUCUCCCUGGGAAGUAGGUCUUGUUGAUGUUGAUGUAAAAAACCAAGGCAUAGAAAGGUCAAGUUCCCUGCCCAGUGUCGUAUAGCCCCGGCAGUGACUGCUGAAGCUGGCUGUCAAACGCUUAUCUUUUUCAGGCUCUGGCCGGCCCUGCACACCUCUCCUAUCUCGCUGUUGGACUAAUCGGGUCUGACUUGUCCGUGCAGCAGCCCGACUACCCAACCGUUUUGGGGAGGUUGCCAUGGGCAGGGGAUAGCAAACUGGACUUGGGGUUUGGAGCGUUGGGUUUGGGUCGCAGCUUGAUCUCUGGCCUGCGGCAGAAUGUCGAACACACCCGUCUUGCGUAGGACUCAGGUUCCCCUCGGAACCUUGACACCACCUUGGAAGUCAGGGGAGAGAGUUCCCUCGCAGGGGACCCCAGGUAACGCAUAUCAGGGUGGGGGACCGAAGUGGCCGAGGCUGGGGGGUGAUGAUGCGUGGCCGCCCCUCUGAAGGCCUGGGGAGGGCGCGCUAGGGGCUGCACACAGCAGUGAAGACCUUGGCUGGCUCCUGGGAAGCGGGUGGAGACCACAGCUUCUGCCUGGGGUGCUGGGGGAGGGGUCACUUCUGCCUUGGCCUUGAUUUCUCCAGUUGUGUUGUGGUGGCAGUGGUCAGCCCCAUCUUUACCCGGUGCUUGUCCCAGAGCUGUGUGGCUAAUGCUCUGGGCACCUGGCUCUGGAGACCAAAUGCCCGCCCUGUCUGGGCCUCUGUGUCCCUGGGUGGUACAGAGGGAACCCAGAGGUCAUUCCUCGCCGUGAAGUCGUCGUUCUCGCUCCUGAAAUAUCCAAGUCGAUGCCGCUCAGUGGCUUUCUCUGUUCUCGCCAGCCCCUUGCUGGUUAGCUGCUCUCUUCAGUUCUUGAGGAGCAGAUGACCCAUGUCAGCAGCAGCCAGGGCAGCAACCACACAACCAGAUAACCAGCACGCUGUGACCCCGGCGUCCCCAGUUCUCUUUCGAAGUAAGCAUUUAUAUGAAAAUAACAUUAGGGGAAAUGGGUGACUCCCUGGGGAAACACAACACCGAAUCCAGUCUCACUGCCGGCUCCGGAGUCGAUGCCAGCGGCCUGGAGAGUGCCACGUGAGAAUGAAAGCAUGAGAGUCCCGGGAAAAAUGCAGAAUUCCUUCCCAGCCUUGGAGCGCGGAAGGCUGCUCUGGUUACACCUGCAAGUCCAGAAGCCAAAAAUUAUCUACGGGGCCGGCGCUGUGGCGCGGUAGGCUAAGCCUCCACCUGCAGCGCCGGCAUCCCAUAUGGGCGCCUGUUCUAGUGCUGGCUGCUCCUCUUCCCAUCCAGCUCCCUGCUAUGGCCUGGGAAAGCAGUAGAGGAUGGCCCAAGUCCUUGGGCCCCUGCACACACGUGGGAGACCCGGAAGAAGCUCCUGGCUCCUGGCUUCGGAUCAGCUCAGCUCUGUCCAUUGUGGCCAUUUGGGGAGUGAACCAGCAGAUGGAAGAUCUUUCUGUGUCUCUCUCUGUACCUCUGCCUCUCACAUAAAUAAGUAAAAUCUUAAAAAAAAAAAAAAGAAAUUGCCAAACUGUUUGCCAAAGUGGCAUUGAAACAGUGAUGUAUUUAGCUAUUCUUCUAUUGAUAACCAUCUGCAUAGAUUUCACAUUUUCUUGUUUUUUAUUUUUUAUUUAUUUAUUUUUUGACAGGCAGAGUGGACAGUGAGAGAGAGAGAGACAGAGAGAAAGGUCUUCCUUUGCCGUUGGUUCACCCUCCAAUGGCCGCCGCGGCCGGCGUGCUGCGGCUGGCGCACCGCGCUGAUCUGAUGGCAGGAGCCAGGUACUUAUCCUGGUCUCCCAUGGGUGGCAGGGUCCAAGGACCUGGGCCAUCCUCUACUGCCUUCCCGGACCACAGCAGAGAGCUGGCCUGGAAGAGGGGCAACCGGGACAGAAUCCGGCUCCCCGACCGGGACUAGAACCCGGUGUGCCGGCGCCGCAAAGCGGAGGAUUAGCCUAGUGAGCCACGGCGCUGGCCACAUUUUCUUUAUUAAUGAUAAUACUAGAAAUAUUUUUGUAUGCACAGACAAGUAUUCCUGGCUUGGCCUGCUAUUUCCUCAGGAUAAAUGAAUAAAAGUGAGUUUCUUGGGUCA